CGCCUGGAUACGCAGGCUCCCCCCCCUCCACACCGGCCCCCCCGCUGCGACUCCAGGAGCCACAUUCACCUUCUGCAGAGGAAUACUUAUGGAUUCUCUCUAUAUUCAUAUGAAGGACUUCUGGGAGAGCCUCUGACAUGGGUACACAUGGAUUGUCUAGGUGGAUAGAGUGUCUGGUCUGGGCUCAGCAAGACCUGAAUUAAAAUGCCAUUUCACAUGUCACCCUGGGCUAUGUGACCUUGGCCAAGGACUUCACCCA